rnacentral:rRNA from 1 species
GUCCCCUACGGGGGGCAGCAGUGGGGAAUAUUGCACAAUGGGGGAAACCCUGAUGCAGCGACGCCGCGUGAGUGAAGAAGCGUUUCGGCGCGUAAAGCUCUGUCAGCGGGGAAGAAACACGGUUCGCGAGAGCCGCGGACGGUACCCGACCAAGAAGCCCCGGCUAACUACGUGCCAGCAGCCGCGGUAAUACGUAGGGGGCAAGCGUUAUCCGGAUUCACUGGGUGUAAAGGGAGCGCAGGCGGCGCGUUAAGCCUGGUGUGAAAGCCCGCGGCCCAACCGCGGGACUGCAUUGGGAACUGGCG